UACCGCGUGGCGCAAUAGGUAACGCGUGUGCGUACGGAGCAAAAGAUUGCAGAUUCGAAUCGUGCCGUGGUCG